UCACUACUUGCGUAGGCAGUCGAUCUAGAGUUCCCGACAUGACUCGCUGGCAACAUCGGACAGGGGUUGCGCUCGUUGCGCCACUUAAGGCAACAUCUCACGACACGAGCUGACGACAGCCAUGCGCCACCUGUGCACAGGCCCCGAAGGGCUGCCGUGUUUCCACGACAUUCCUGUGCAUGUCAAGCCCUGGUAAGGUUCUUCGCGUCGCAUCGAAUUAAACAACAUGCUCCGCUGCUUGUGCGGGUCCCCGUCAAUUCCUUUGAGUUUUAGCCUUGCGGCCGUACUCCCCAGGCGGGGUGCUUAAUGCGUUAGCUUCGGCACGGACGGAGUCGACACCGCCCACACCUAGCACCCAUCGUUUACGGCGUGGACUAC
rnacentral:misc_RNA from 1 species